AGUUCUUUCAGACUUUCAGUUGGUCAGCUUUCCACGUGAGCUCCCUUCGACCCAGUUCUUUCAGACUUUCAGUGUCAAUUUCAGUGUAUCUUAGGGUUUAAAAUUAGAAUUUUAUGAUGGUGGACUGGUUGUUGUUGUUGUUGUUGUAAUACUUAUUGCUGAACCUGAGCAAAUUUUUUUUGUUGCUGUUAA